rnacentral:rRNA from 1 species
UACGGAGGGUGCAAGCGUGAUCCGGAUUCACUGGGUUUAAAGGGUGCGUAGGUGGGCAAGUAAGUCAGUGGUGAAAUCUCCGGGCUUAACCCGGAAACUGCCAUUGAUACUAUUUGUCUUGAAUACUGUGGAGGUCAGCGGAAUAUGUCAUGUAGCGGUGAAAUGCUUAGAUAUCGUCAAGAACACCUAUAGCGAAGGCAGCUUACUAGGCUGUAACUGACGCUGAGGCACGAAAGUGUGGGGAUCAAACAGG